UACGUAGGGUGCAAGCGUUAAUCGGAAUUACUGGGCGUAAAGCGUGCGCAGGCGGCUUUGCAAGACAGAUGUGAAAUCCCCGGGCUUAACCUGGGAACUGCAUUUGUGACUGCAUGGCUAGAGUGCGGCAGAGGGGGAUGGAAUUCCGCGUGUAGCAGUGAAAUGCGCAGAUAUCAGGAGGAACACCGGUGGCGAAGGCGGAUCUCUGGGCCUUACCUGACGCUGAGGCGCGAAAGCUAGGGGAGCAAACAGG
rnacentral:rRNA from 1 species